UAUUGAUGUUCAGAUCACAGUACUUCUCUGU
rnacentral:piRNA from 1 species